rnacentral:lncRNA from 1 species
CUUGUAAGAAUAUCCAAGUGAAUCCAACGUCCACACUUAAUACAUUAAUAUUUAAAGGGGAGGUUCAUCCAAAAACACUUCUGGGCACUUUAGAACACUUACCUGGUCAUUUGUCAGUAAGCCAGUCAGUUUUUAGAUGUACAGUAGGUAAUACACUGAUUCUACACCCGCCUUCCCCAUAGAAAUCCCAUGCAAAGUCAAAGUCCAUAAUAAAUACCUCCCAAACACAUCGCUCUGGCCUCCCAUGACCACAAUAGUCCUUGUAAUUUUUCAGCGAACUUAUUUUAGUAGGCACAUUUUUACCAAUGUAUUUAGUUAUUUUCGUAUUGAAUUCCUGGAAGUAGAUGACUGCGCGCCGUGAGUCAGGACUUAGAUCAUAACUUCUGAGGUGGGGUUGGUUGAAGGAUGUGAACAAUAAUAUUUUUUUCUUACUCCCUCACAGUGUUUAUUGCCCUCAUCAAAUUUAAUUAGAGUAAAGAAUGUCAGAUCAAGAACGAAGAGGAAGUCGGAGACCAUUUUCAGAAUGGAACUCUUGUGCCAUAUCGGUUUGAGCCGUAUCAUACUGAGGCUGAGUUGUUCCAUUUUCGGAUGAGAGAAAUAAUCACGGUGACUGGUGGUGUCGAGAAUGGGACCAGUUUAUUCCGAUAAUGAAGGAGGUAGAACAUCAGACUGACAAUGCAGCAGAAGAUGGCGUGUGUAACUAAACACUCAUCAAUCCUGGUGUGUUGGAGACUUUCUUCAGAAUGCCCAGGAUCAACUGGACACGACGUGACACACCUGAAGGUCCAAAUGGCAAAAGCACAGUACAGACUGGCCUCUUAUUGGAUCCCCCUGGAGUGGAUGCUGAGGGGAGAACAUCUAGGUCGAGACCAACAACGUUUACUCCCAGCCUCUGUGGUUGCUGCAAUUACAGUACAUCCGACUACCCUGACCCCAACAGCAGCUACAUUGGAGUCCAGGAAGUUGAAUAACAUUUUCAAUAAAUAAAAUUGUAGUGUAUUUUUUUGUUGUAAACUAUUUCAUGUUAUUUUAUAACAACAAUUACACAGUUAGCAUGCCAUUCACACUGUCACUCAGCAUUGGUUAGAGCAGGGAUUUACAAACAUGUUCCUGGCGAUCAACCGUUUUGUCGAUUUUCACCCCGACAGGUAAGCUUGAUUAGGGUUGGAGGAUGGAAACCUAUAAGACGGUAACUCUCUAGGUAAGGUUUGAGAACCUUAGUGUUAUGUAAAACACAGAGAAGAUCCCAAUUGCGUACUCUGUGUCCUCUCGCCUUCUCAAAACACAAUAGAUGAGAAAGCCAGAGGACGGACCUCUGUCUUUCUCAUCCAAUGUGUUUUGAGAAGGAAACAAGGAGACAGGACGCGAGGAGUAUGCAAUUGAGAUAUUCCCACAGAAUCCGACUCAUUACUUAAUGAGCUGGCUCAUGCCUAGGAGGCAACCCGUUCCAAAACUUCACCUGGUGCAAAACACGCCUACCCGUUCGCCCAUGCCAGAUUUAUUGAAUCCCCUCAUUGAAUCGAACUGUGGUGUUCCCAUUCAAGACAUAAUGGCAUAAUGUGUGGACUGCCGGCCAUUGCGAGUGUACCCAUAGGAGCAAAGCAGGACGUAAAUAUCAAGUCACACGGCGAGACCCAGAUGCAGACACAGGAGGUAGAUGUUUGGAGUCUUACAAUGAUUAUUAAUCCAAAAGGUAGGCAAGAGAAUGGUCGUGGACAGGCAAAAAGGUCAAAACCAGUUCAGAGUCCAAUAGGUACCGAAGGUCAGGCAGAAACAAGGUCAGGCAUGCAGGAUGAGCAGGCAGGCAGCUAAGUAGUCCAGAGUCAGGCAGGGGUCAAAACCGGGUGGACAAUAAAAAGAGAAUAGAAAAGGAGUACGGGACAAACACACUGGUUGACUUGACUAAACAUACAAGACGAACUGGCACAGAGAGACAGGAAACACAGGGAUAAAUACACUGGGGAAAAUCACAAGGAGACAAUCACAAGGACAGGUGAAACAGAUCAGGGCGUGACAGUAAAAGCAUAAAGUAAAAGCAGGAAGUGUACCCAUCAAUCUGUGCUGUGAUUUGUUGGAUCAACUCAACUGACAUUUUGAAAAUGAUAUAUUCCAUUGCGUUUGCCAAAUCAGUUAGCAUCAUUUCAAUGAACAAUCAACAUUACCAUUGAAAUGAUUGCAUCACACACGGCAAGCGGUACCAAUGCGCCAAGUCUGGAACCAACAGGACCCUGAACAGCUUCUACCCCCCAAGCUAUAAGACUGCUAAAUAGAUAACAAAAUAGCUAUCCGGACUAUCUGCAUUAACCCUUUUUCACCAACUUUUUGGACUCAUCACAUACGCUGCUGUUACUAUUUAAUAUAUGUCACUUUAUUCCUAGUUAUAUGUACAUAUCUACCUCAAUUACCUUGUACCCCUGCACAUCGACUCGGUACUGGUACUCCGAGUACUGUAUAUAGCAGGUUAUUGUUACUCAUUGUGUAUUUAUUAUUACUUUUAUCAAUGGGUGUUAUUACUUUUCUAUUAUUUCUCUAUUUUCUCUCUUUCUGCAUUGCUGGGAAGGGCCCGUAAGUAAUAAUUUCACUGUUAAUCUCCACCUGUUGUGUCAUGAAUCCCGCUUCCUGAGUCUGUUUUCUGCCUGAGUUGCCUGUUUUCUGUCUUGGAGUCUGUUUCCUGAGGUUCCUGAACGCACCCUGUCUGGUUGCCGGGCGACGAAGCUAGGCGGGAGAUCUCUUGAUUACCCGCACCUGCAUCUCAUCAGCUAUCUGUACACCUGGUCCUGAUCAUCACCUCUCCACUUCAUAAGCUCUGACCUGACAUCCAUUCCCUGCCAGUCAUUCACCCCACCCCUGCCUGAUUGUCGGGGGCUUCUGUGACAUUGGAUCUGCCUAUUCACUCUCACCAACUCACCUCUGCUGCCCGCUCCGUCUCCUGGAUUAUUCUGCUUUCACAUUUGAGUCUGUAAAUAAAUAUUCACCUUGUCCUGGUCUGCUUCUGGGUUCUGCUUUAGAGAAUCGUGACAUGUUGUUUAUGAAGCGUGUGGUAGCAGUGGUGUAAAGUACUUAAGUAAAAAUACUUUCAAGUACUACUUAAGUAGUUUUUUUGGUGUAUCUGUUCUUUACUUUGCUAUUUCUAUUUUUGACAACUUUUACUCCACUACAUUCCUAAAGAAAAUAAUGUACUUUUUACUCCAUACAUUUUCCCUGACACCCAAAAGUACAAUCAUUGUUACAUUUUGAAUGCUUAACAGGACAGGCAAAUGGUCCAAUUCACACACAUAUCAAGAGAUUAUGUCUGAGUGUUGGAGUGUGCCCCUGGCUAUCCG